UCGAACGAGAUCUUCGGAUCUAGUGGCGCACGGGUGCGUAACGCGUGGGAAUCUGCCCUUGGGUUCGGAAUAACAGUUAGAAAUGACUGCUAAUACCGGAUGAAGUCUACGGACCAAAGAUUUAUCGCCCAGGGAUGAGCCCGCGUAGGAUUAGCUAGUUGGUGGGGUAAAGGCCUACCAAGGCGACGAUCCUUAGCUGGUCUGAGAGGAUGAUCAGCCACACUGGGACUGAGACACGGCCCAGACUCCUACGGGAGGCAGCAGUGGGGAAUAUUGGACAAUGGGGGCAACCCUGAUCCAGCAAUGCCGCGUGAGUGAUGAAGGCCUUCGGGUCGUANAGCUCUUUUACCCGGGAUGAUAAUGACAGUACCGGGAGAAUAAGCCCGGCUAACUCCGUG
rnacentral:rRNA from 1 species